UAUUGACUAAUGGAAUUAUCAUUCAUAAUAUGAUAAUUUGGUUGAGUCUUUCUGAUGGUGGUCAGGUUGGUCGGCCAAAGUCGGGCCUGAUCAUUUAUUGAUCCGAUUCACCAAAUCAAGUCAUGUUAAUGGUUGGACCUAACCAUAUCUUUUCAGUGGAGGUCAAAGCCUACUGAUUAGGUUCUGGGGCAAAAUUAAUUACUAGAAGUUGUUUAGAGAAACAACUGGUUAUAAACCUACCCAU
rnacentral:lncRNA from 1 species